CAUAUUGUGUUGCUUAACCAAAUGACCCCAGGAGCAGGCACACAGCUGUUUGCUGUCACUCUCUCCCUCUCUCUGCCAACCUCAUACCAGACUUAGGAUCAUGAUAAACUAUAGGAUCCUGUGCACACCACUCAUAUCCAAGGGAAGUAGAGGUGUCUUUGACACCAAGAGGUGCCAUGAUGUCAUCUCUCUACUGUCCUCCUUCAUAAGGAUGAAUUGGGCAGAAAAUGCAGUGUUUCUACCCCCCAAAGGUCCAGACGGGAAACAGAAGCAGAGCACUGGUUCUCUUCCACUCUCGCUUCACCCAACAUCAAGAGGCCUAAAAUGUUACUGAGUGCCAGAAUCUCAAACACAUGUUUUACAAAUAAAAUGACAUCUGUACAUAAACCAUCGAUCAUUAUAUUAAUCAUUACAUGAUUUGCCUUGUUUUGAAGGGUAUACGGUACAGCUUUGGUGAGCAAAUAGUCAUAAAAGAUUCGUAUUUGCUCUGCCCAUGCCACUCUCUUGAGUUGAUGCACAUGUCCUUAGAAAACUGCAGAGAAUUAGCCCAUUGUAUUUGAUGCUUUUUAUGUGACUGCCUGACAAGUUUUUUUUCCCUAAUGACAGAAGUGAUAAAUAAUCAGUGCAUAAAAUUUGAAAAAAUGCAGAUCAAUGCAAAAAGGAAUCACCACUAACACAAAUAAUUUUUGUUAACAUAUUAGUAAAUUUUCUUAGGUAUUGCAUCUAAAUUUCCCUGGGACUGUUGGAAUAGGUCAUAUUAAGGAAAAAGAGUUACUAAUAAGUCAGAAAGCCAGAUCUUCUGCAUAUAUGAUCACUGUUACUAUGGAAACCAACACUUUCCUGGAUGUGACAAGCAAGCAUGCUGAGGAAAUGUGAGCUGAUAGCAUCAUGGUAGGAAGCUGGGAGGAGGAGGCCUGUCCCUGUUGGAAAGCUGUGCCCAGAAUGAGGACAUCAACAGGAACAUGCGGUGCACAUUUGUGUCACCACCAGGCUAAAAGAAACUCCAAGGCCUGGACCUGACAAGAGACAGACAACCUCACACAAUACCCUACCCCUAGCAACCCAACCACAGGGGACUCUUCACCUUUGUAUCUCAGCACCCAGAGCAAGGCCUAGCAACAGAUAGGUGGGGAAGAUACUCCCCAAGUAUCUGUCGAAUGUAUGAGCAAAAUAGUCAUGGUGCUCAGGACCAAGAUGGUCUUUCUCCAGACCUUUUCUUUCACUCAUAAAUGAGCCAUAAUGAGCGCGUGCUUGUUAUUAUAAACACAAAAGAUGAUAUAACAAGCUGGUUUUGUUUUUCCUAAAAACAUAUCUCCUUGGCUCCAGGAAAGCCCCUAGAUCCAGGAACUCUGAAUACAGUGGAACUUUGUGCUGAGAUGCCAGUUACAGAAUCACUAGGCAUGGAUAGCCUUCCUACUGGAAAAGUAAUUUAAUCGUAGUGUGCUCUGGCUUCAGGCUAUUUGCUGUAAUCCGAAUAGAGAAAGCAUUUUAGAAGCUGUGUGACAG
rnacentral:lncRNA from 1 species